GGUAACUUUUGUUUCUGUUGCAAACUUGAUGAUAAAUAAUAAUAAACAUUCAAUCUAUUAUUGUGUGUAUGCAUUUUUUACUAAAUCCAAGCAGGCUUCGAAGAAAUCGAAGGGUUUUCAUCUGAGCUAAAGGGGUGAGUGUCAUGGCAACGAUUGAAAACAUUGUUUCUUUAUAACAAACAAACAAAAAACGUGUUUUAGGUUUGACGCAGUUACUGAACAACCACGAGCGCGAACAUCGUUGAAAAGAUUUCCAAUUGAUUGCAAAGAAAAAAAACAAUGGAUUUUCGGCGGCAAAUGCAGGAAUAUUUCAUAAUAAAUGAUUUCCAAUUGAUUGCAAAGAAGAAAAACAAUGGAUUUUCGGCGGCAAAUGCAGGAAAAUAUUUAAAAAGAAAUAAUUCUUCUAUUGGAUUUCCUAUUGAUAUUUAUAAACAAUUAAUUCACUGCAGAUUUCUCUUCCAUCCAAACUUUCUCUUCUCUCUUACAUAAAAGAACCAUUCGUAGAGAGAAAAUCUUUCUUGCUCCAACAACUAUCAUAACAAGACGCAACACGAAUCAGCAAAGAAUUGUUACUUAAUACUAAAAGCACGACGAAGAUGAAACACGACAUCGAAAUUUCAAAUGCAAACAUGGAAAUUACGUAAUUCGUCUAAUUAAAAAGAGUAAGAUGAAAUCAAUUUUACUGAGAAAUGGAAUCACUCGAAAAAAAAAUCGUAUUGGAAAACUUGCUGUGAAUUGGAUUGGACAUAAACUUUCAACAAAACUAAAAAUUGUAUUGGAAUUCGUUAUAAAUGAUGGAUUUAAGUAGAAUUUUGCUACAAUUCAAAAAAUAAAAAAAAAAGUCGGUGUUGUUGGGAAAAUAUUUGAGGAUUCUAAUAGUUGUUGUUACAAAUUUCCUAAUGGACUUUAAAAGGAAAAAUCAAUUGUUACGAGUUAGUAGGAACACAAUGCAAGUAAGUAAACUCAUACAAAAAAUGAUGAUACAAAUAAUCAUUGCAUCCACAGAUAUGAUAUAAAUUGUUAAUUGAUAUUUGAAACAAUAAAGUUGAUAAUUAAAAAAAGAUACAACAGAAUUGCUUACUUGUUAAGAAUGUGAUGUAGGCAACCGUUCAAACAUGCGUGUAUAUUAAGUUGCCUGUUUUUUUUUAAAUUAUUUAAUUCAAAUAUUUAGUUUUAAGGAUUUAACAAAGUUGCAGAACGUUCUCAGAUCUAUUUAUAUUGUGUAAAUUGGGAUAAUGUGUGGUGGUUGCAUUAUUUGAAAAAAGGAUUUCAAAUCAAUUGCGAGCAAAUGUGAAAAUAUAAUUUAUUGCUUCCAAUAUAUUAAAAUGUAGAAGAAAAAAAAAACGUUCCUGAAAAGUGUAAAGUGAUUAAUGAGAAACUGAGAUCAUUACCGUUUGGCUCUUGUUUUCCAUGCUAGAGAAGAGGUGGCUGUUGACGAAAUCAUUCUUUUGUUUCUUCUUUUUGGGGGGAAAGGAAUGGAAGAGGUAGAAGGAGAGGGCGCAUACUUACAAGUGUGUUACAACUUAAAUACACCAGUGCUCUGGUUGUUGUUGUUGUAGUAGUUCUUGUAUGUGUGUUGUGUUCUAAAUUUCGAGAAUCGGGAAUAUCAGAAACAAACAAAACAAAAAA